rnacentral:rRNA from 1 species
GACGAACGCUGGCGGCGUGCUUAACACAUGCAAGUCGAACGGACAGACAGAGAGCUUGCUCUCUUGAAGUUAGUGGCGAGCGGGUGAGUAACGCGUAAUCAACCUGCCCUUCAGAGGGGGAUAACAACGGGAAACCGUUGCUAAUACCGCGUACGAUUCAUGAACGGCAUCGUUUAUGAAUGAAAGGUGGCCUCUAUGUAUAAGCUAUCGCUGAAGGAGGGGAUUGCGUCUGAUUAGCUAGUUGGAGGGGUAACGGCCCACCAAGGCAAUGAGCAGUAGCCGGUCUGAGAGGAUGAACGGCCACAUUGGGACUGAGACACGGCCCAAACUCCUACGGGAGGCAGCAGUGGGGAAUCUUCCGCAGUGGACGAAAGUCUGACGGAGCAACGCCGCGUGAGUGAUGAAGGUCUUCGGAUUGUAAAGCUCUGUUAAUCGGGACGAAAGAGUUCUGCGUGAAUAAUGCAGAAAAGUGACGGUACCGGAAUAGAAAGCCACGGCUAACUACGUGCCAGCAGCCGCCGUAA